AAUAGGAGCAGUUCUCAUUACUCAUAUGUUUAUGAUGGUUUGUAUUUGGUGGAUACAAUGAAAAUAGAAAGAGUGAGAUAUGGAAAGCUUGUGUUCUUGGAUUUCAUGAUUUCAUAGGGUGGUUUCUUUUCUUGCUUUUCUUGGUUUUCAUGAUUUCAUGGGGUGGUUUCUUUGUUUCUUGUUUUCCCUAAAGUUUCACUUUUUCUUCAUUUAGCUUAGGAGUUUUGCAUUUUUUUUUUACUGUUUUGUGCUUUGCAUGUUUCUGUGGAGGGAAAGUUUGUUCUUUUAAAUAUGUUUACUUUUUAUGAAUUAUUUUUCUACUGUUUUGUGGUCGUACUUCUCAAACACCUCUUUUUUCAACCUCCGCUGCUUGGCACUAUCUGUGUUUUCAAGGUAUGAAGUUCCUCAGCACUUCGACUGGCAAAGAAUUAAGGAAAGUGUUUGUGAAACAGUGGACAGUGGACGGUGAAUCGAGCAUUGGUGACAUUUAAGAACUUGUUUGAUAAGCUAAUGCAUCUAUACAAAUUGUAAGAACCUGGGAAUUCUAAAGUAAUGGCCGCAAACGCCGUCUUAACGGAUUGCUAUGAUAAUGGUAGGAAAUCCAGUGGUACCUUGGCUUAUGAAGGUCAAGGAAGAAAUCCUAAUGUUAGGAGAAAUAUUUCACUUCAGUGAUAAACAAAUUGGAACGAUGAAAUUUGGUGCUGAAAAAUAGGAUGCAAGCUAUAAGUCCCAUGUGGGUUAUAUUGAAAGUUAUGGAAAGUUUGAUUGUGCAUUCAGUUACAAUAGCAACAAUUCUCAUUACUCAUGUUUAUGAUAGUUUGUAUUUGGUGGAUACAAUGAAAAUAGAAAGAGGAAGAUAUGGAAAGCUUGUGUUCAUUUUUGUCCUAAAUAGAAUUUUAGGACAACUCCAAACUUGUUUUUCCCUUAAGGAUCAUGGUGAAAAUUCAAGAUUUACUUCUAGGAAGAAACGCAACAAACCGAAAGGUUGUGUUGUUGAAAAGGAGGUUGUCCGUGUUAAAGAUCUUUAAAAUCGUCAGAAGAGGUUUAGUAUUAGGGUGGUGACUUCAAGAGAUUGUGUCCAGCUACCCACAUCCUUUGAUUAUGUCGUAAAUAAAAUUCACUCAAUGAAGUUCAAGCAGGCAAUUCUUUGUGGCUGUGAAGAAUGGUAGCAAAGGUUGACGUACAAAAAUUGUCUUUCAUUCCCUUCUGGAAGCUUUCUAUGUGAGUAUAUUGGAGAAGUCAGUGGCUAUAGAUAAUGACUAUAUAUUUCACAUGGGUAUGUUCAUGAUGGAUACUUUCUUUUGUUGUGUUUGGACUUUAUUUAACAGUUUCAGUCUUCCUUUGUAGGUGUUGAAAAGGUCUUCACUAAUGCAAGUAAAUGUGUAUACGUAGGAAGAUUUACUAAUCAUAGCUGUUCUUCAAAUCUUCGUGUCAAAGAUGUUAUGUAUGAUCACAAUGACAAGAAUCUUCCUUACAAAUUGUUGUUUGCUGUAAAGGAUAUUUCGGCUGUUUGAGAGCUGACUUAUGAUUAUAAUUCCUUCAGUGGAAAAUUGAUCAAUAGUAGUAGUAAUAGUUGCUAUUGGGGAACACCGAAAGGCAAUGGACAAAUCUACAUUUAAAGGUGUAAAUUAUAAACUGUAUUUUUUUAUUACAUUGUUGAAUAGAGUACAUAUACUCACAUCAUUGUUUGAUAUGCAUUGGUUGUAGUAGUCCAUAAGCCUUUGAUGUAAAAGAUAUGUACAAUAUGCAUAGCUUAUGUGGCUUGGUCUUGGAUGAUGGAUGGUGGUUUGUAGGUUAUUGAUUCAAGACUAAUAACCUUGGUCUAUGAGUUAUGCCUAAUCAUGCGUAGGGGAAUUAUCAACCUCUCUGUAGCAAAACCAGUUUGUGGGUGUUGAUUGCAAAACCUCUCUUCAUCAACCUCUCUGGGCUGUGGUAGGUCUGACAGGAGAACUGUUGUCAAAGGAAACGAGGAAAAGGAGGUGCAGGCAAUGCAGGUGUCAUGGUGGCCAUGAGAAGGAAAACGAAGAAGGAAUACUCUCUUAGUUAUCAUCAUGGAGCCUGCAGCAACCAUAGAAGGGCUGUUGAAUGUCUAUCUCAUUGGUUGAGGUAGCAGGACUAACACCUCUUUCAAGGAGUGUAUAUGGCCACUGAAACAAGACCCAAGGAGGUCUCCUUGUGUGGAACUUGCGGUUUGUCUGGAGAGGUUUAUCUGGUUUCUGUCACGAAGAGCCAUGAUAGAGUCUCUGGAAGUAAAAUCCAUGGUAAUAGGAUGUCUGGAGCGGCUGUCAGUAGUGAUGGGUGUUAAAUCAGAUGGUCUUUAAACCUGAAGUGGCUGGUUUACCUUGUAUGGAGCCUCACUUCUCACACCUGAUGUGGUGCCAGUAUUGGUUUACUGGGUCUUGUUGGAGUUGCUGGCUGGUUUGUUGGUUUGCUGGUGCUGCCAGUACUGGUUUGCUGGUUUUGGUGGAGCUGCUGGCUGGUUUGUUGGGUUGCUGGUUUACCUUGUGUGUUGGAGAUGCUGGCUGGAUGCAAGUGAAGCUCACUGUUUCACAGUAAAGGGCCAUAAAAAGUAGGGGGUUUUAUUUAUGCUGAUGAAUUUGUAGCUUGGAUUUCAAAGCAUUAUUCAAGGGGUAUUAUUUCUUUGGUCCAAGUGGUGCGCUAGAUGCAGAGCAGUUUUCAAUCAAUUGAAGUGGACUGGUGGCCUACGCACGGAGCCCUGGAUGGUGCAUAUGUUGUGAUGCCAAAGCUGGGUUGGGAAAGGGUUGCUGGUUGGUGCUUCCAGCGUGGGGCAAUCAAGUGAAGCAAGCUCUUUCAUCCUAUGCUUGGAUGCUUUGUUGGUGUGGUGUGGACCUCAAACAUGAGCUGCUGGUUCUCUUUUUUAUGGUCUGUUGGGUCUGGUGGAUUUCUAGUGAGUGGGGGGUUUGUGGGUUAAUACUACAAUAGGUUUGCUUUGGUAGUAAAAUGUGGUCCUUUAAUUUAAUUAAUUCUUUGUCGAUAAAAAAAAAAAACUAAAACCAUUUUUGAAAAUAGAACUUAAACACAUCCUUUUUAACUAAUUCAUUCCACUUUCAUAUCAAGUAUGGUAAGGAUUAUGAUCAUAAAAUGUAUUUGCAAGAGGUUAUGAUCCAUACCAGAAUUAUAGCCUUGAUGUUUUUCCUUGUUAAAUAAAAAUCUUGCUUGCUAACAUCCUCAUAUUGUAUGAGAACAUCCACAAGAUCUUCUGCUUCCCUUUCGUAAUCUUUGGUCUUUGACUUUGCCUCUUUAUGUUCAUUAUGAUGUUUUCCAUUAUGUGAUCGGUUUGUUGAUGUAACCUCUCAAGCUUGGGCCUCAGGCCAGUGACACGUUGCAGCCAAGUAGCAGAAGGAAACAAAUCUCCAAUGUUAAAACCUCCUGCAACUUUUAUUGAUUUUUUAACCACUGAUAUAAAGUUUUCUUGGUCUUUAUAUUUCUUGCCAAAGGCAGACCUGGAAACAAUUGUAUAAAUAGAUGAAAGUAGAGCUUGAGUGAGAUUGAUGGGGGAUCCUUUCUCCGAAUCUAUCCAUUUGACAAGAUUGGAGAGCUCCUCUUCUUUAAUUGGCUGGUAUGAGUUGAUACGUUUUAAAGCUCCAAUAUGCAAAUUUUUUCUAAAAUUCUUUAUUAUUAAAAGAGAAUUGAAUAUAUAUUUCUCACAAAUAAUAUUAUAUUUUGGAACUAAUAUAAAUAUUUUCAUAAUCAUUACAAUAUAAUUUAAGAAACUUUUAUAAAAGAAUGGUAUCCUUUGUAAUUAAAAUUAUACAAGUUAUCGAUAUGUGUUUUAAAACUUCUUCUAUUGAUCACUUUUAUAAUUUAAAUUUAAUGACUUACAACUAGUGAAAUUUGAUGAUUUAAGAAAAUUUACAAAAAAAAUUAUUUAAUUUAAAUGCAUCCAUAAUAUAAAUCUUUUUUAUUCUUAACGUUGCAUUCUAACUCUUAUCAAUUUUAUAUUAAUAAUCAUCACAACUCUGACGUGAACAGUAGGUUUUCUCUUCAUCCUAGUCUUUUCUUUCUCCAGUACAGUGCUAAGGAAGUUUUGUUCUUUCAAGCAUUUAACAAGGGUAAUAAACCUUUUCUUGUUUCUAUUGUUUUAAAGUUUUCAUUUUCAUUUCCAAUUCUCAAUAUCUUUAGUUCAUCAACAAAUAACAAAAGGAUCUUGAUUGCAGGGAGUGUUUUACUUCAAUUUUUCCUCUGGUAUGCUUCUUUUCUUGGUUUUCAUGGGGUGGUUUCUUUCUUUCUUUCUCUCCCUAAAGUUUUGCUUUUUCUUUAUUUAGUUUGAGUUUUGCAUUCUUGUUUUACUGUUUUGUGCUUUGCAAAUUGCAUGUUUCUGUGGAGGGAAAGUUUGUUCUUUUAAAUAUGUUUACUUUGUAUGAAUUCUUUUUCUACUGUAACUGUACUGCUCAUACUUCUCUUGUUUUUCAAGUGUUCUCUUGAAGUUUUUGUUUAUGUGAUUUUUCAACUUCCGUUGCUUGGCACUAUCUGUCCUUCAACUUUUAUCACUCUAAAGCUUCCAAGGUAUGAAGUUUCGUCUUCAUGGCUUUUCAAUUUUCAUUUUGCAUCAUUAUUAUUUUAUACUCCAAUCUCCCAUUAUUCUAUUUUCUACCUUUGAACGCUUACAUCACUGAAAAAGCUUUCAGCAUUUGAAUUCUUGGUUGAAUGUUUUUUUUUAUAGUUUGGUUGUUGUUAUUUGUUCAUUCUAGAUGGUUUGUAAACUGUUGUUUGACUUGUUGUGGUACCACUGAUGGAUAUCUGUAAUACAAAGUCUCCUUUUGACAGUCCUUUAGGAACUUGUUUGACAAGCUAAUAAUACUUCAAUACAAAUUGUAAGAACCUGGGAAUUCUAAAGUAAUGGCCGCUAACACUGUCUUAACG
rnacentral:lncRNA from 1 species